GAUGAACGCUGGCGGCGUGCCUAAUACAUGCCAGUCGAGCGAACAGACGAGGAGCUUGCUCCUCUGACGUUAGCGGCGGACGGGUGAGUAACACGUGGAUAACCUACCUAUAAGACUGGGAUAACUUCGGGAAACCGGAGCUAAUACCGGAUAAUAUAUUGAACCGCAUGGUUCAAUAGUGAAAGACGGUUUUGCUGUCACUUAUAGAUGGAUCCGCGCCGCAUUAGCUAGUUGGUAAGGUAACGGCUUACCAAGGCAACGAUGCGUAGCCGACCUGAGAGGGUGAUCGGCCACACUGGAACUGAGACACGGUCCAGACUCCUACGGGAGGCAGCAGUAGGGAAUCUUCCGCAGUGGGCGAAAGCCUGACGGAGCAACGCCGCGUGAGUGAUGAAGGUCUUCGGAUCGUAAAACUCUGUUAUUAGGGAAGAACAAAUGUGUAAGUAACUAUGCACGUCUUGACGGUACCUAAUCAGAAAGCCACGGCUAACUACGUG
rnacentral:rRNA from 1 species